rnacentral:lncRNA from 1 species
UGUGACCUCUGCCAAUACAUCGCAGGGUCUCUUCCACCUUCGAUUUUGUUCGCUCCUUUGGCAAUCGACCUUCAUCCACCCACUCUUGGGUCACACCUAGAUGAAGCACCGCUCUAGGACAGUCCGUCGCCUAGUAGCUCCCGAAGUCCACCGACUUCGCUGUAAUUAGUGCACCAUUGUCUAGAUCCUGGGCCUCUGCCCCUACCAACACAAUCUUUGCUGCGCAC